rnacentral:lncRNA from 1 species
GAGUAGAGAGUUUCGCGUUGUGACAAAUGGGAAAUUACUACACAUCACCUGUGAGUUGUAAUUGACAUGCUGGCAUAAAAUUGAAUAUUUCUUCUUGAAGAUGCUGAACAUAAAAUAAAAGAAACUUCCAUAGUAUACGUACGUAGGUAAGGAGCUUUAUUACUAACUACAUAGUAUACGUACGUAGGUAAGGAGCUUUAUUACUAACUACAUAGUAUACGUACGUAGGUAAGGAGCUUUAUUACUAACUAGUACACUCCUUGAGUAGGCAAAUUAUCGAAGAGGAGGGACUUAAUAUACUCCUCGAGUCUCGGAAGCCUUUGAUUGUCAUCAUAGCUAUACAUCAAAGGA